UGAGUAACACGUAUCCAACCUGCCGUCUACUCUUGGACAGCCUUCUGAAAGGAAGAUUAAUACAAGAUGGCAUCAUGAGUCCGCAUGUUCACAUGAUUAAAGGUAUUCCGGUAGACGAUGGGGAUGCGUCCCAUUAGAUAGUAGGCGGGGUAACGGCCCACCUAGUCAACGAUGGAUAGGGGUUCUGAGAGGAAGGUCCCCCACAUUGGAACUGAGACACGGUCCAA
rnacentral:rRNA from 1 species